GAGGCAGCUGAUCGGUGUUUCUCUCUCAUCGAUGUUUCUAACUUUCUAUCUCUCUCCCUUCCUCUCUGUGAAAAAAAUCAAUAAAAUAUAUUUUUUUAAAAAAUUAAAAGAAACCUGUUUUGUUGGCUAUUCAAGAGCUUGGACGCAAAUGAAAGGCAGUAUGGGAAUGUGAAGAGAGGCUUGUAACAAAGAAUCUUAGCUGCAUUCUCUGUAACAGAAAUGUUCUCCACCAGCACAUUUUCUCCAGGAAAAGCACAUCAAAACUUACCAGACUAGGAGCGUGAGAUUUUCCAACAAUGCCUGUGUCAGCAAAAGUAUGUGAACUACUACUUAACACUGAUCACUAGCUAAGUCCCUGACAUUAUUCGGUCAACUACUAUAGCACUGAAUAACUGGCAAUGAAAAUCACAAAACAACCCAAAUUACUAUCUAAUCCAUUUGCAAAGGGGCAUGCAGUCUGUCUAUCCCUGAAAUUCUUUACAGGCCACAUGUCCACCCGGUGCCUGUACCAAACAGUGAAAUGACAGAAUUCUUAACAAGAAGGAUGUGGAUGAGAUACUAUGUAUCCAAAAUAAAAUGGCUUACCCUAUUCUUAGUGUAACGGGCUCUGCCUGACGCAAUGCCAAGUCUCUGAAAAUAAGCUUCAAAAUCGCUUCCAGAUCCCAGCUUGUUGAUUCUAGAUGUAGAAUAUAAAUACAUACACAUACAGAGAGAGAAUGCAUAAAUAAUAUGAAGUUAAAUAGAUGGGGCAGUGAAUCCCAUCCCAAAAAUAGAAGGAAUUUAAUGGCACAUUUAUAGGAUUUAGGAAAAGGUAUAUCACCCGAAGACACUUUGGUACUAUCUGCUGGAUAUUGGUGUGAUAAACAUAAAGCCCACAACCAGGGCUUAGCAAUGCCACCAAAGACGGCAGUCUAGUGACUGCUGUCUUCCAUAUUUUCUGCAUUUAUGGUAUUUGUUUAGAGGGGAAAACAAGAUAUGGUUCCUGCCCUCAGAAUUAUGGACUAAUCAGAAAAUGGCAAUGAGGAAGUCUAAUUACAGUAUAUUUCUUUGUAUAUAAUUAAGAAACCACUCUGCAUAUACAUAUGUAUUACAUGUAAUAAUGUAAUCACAUGGAAAACUAGUCAUAAUAGAACAGGAUAUAAAAUUACAUAUGCAUGAAGAACCUAACUAUAUACUCCUAAAUCUAAACUUUUUUUUCUAUUUAAGUAUGUGAAACAUUUAUAAUGGAAACACAUUUAAACUUUCACAGAUGUAUUUGGAAUAUGGAAUGAAGCCAUAAACCACAUCAUCUGCUGCUUUUAGAAAUAGCAUUGAAGUAGAAAAUAUAAAAUGAAUUCAGGAAAACUGCUGUAUGACUGAGAUGAACUAAGAAAUACAUUAAUACUUAAAGUCUAAGUUGGUUAACAGGUCUGACUAACAAUUUGGUAGUUACUGAUAAUGCCCAUUAAUAAAUUUAGAAACUAAUAAUCCAUCAUUUGUUUUUUAACUUCAUCUUUAUCAUUUGAAGUUACAUUGUUAAGUAUUCAAUACAUGUCUAAAUGAAAUUUUGUAUAAGAAUGCAAAAUAAUGCUUAAUAAUGGAGCAAACUAAUCUUGACUAAAAUCUUGUGAAACUAGAUUGCUGCUCUACUGUGGGUUAAAAGAUUUGGCUGUUCCGGCUGAUCAGCACAUCAAAGGCUGCACAGAGGAAUCCUGUAGGAUUGUCUUGACUCAGAUUGUUGAGGAAGGAUCCUUUUCCAACCAGCUUUCAUAAAGAGAUUUACCCUGAAAACCAUCAUCGGGGCUGGAGAUCUGGAAAGAAAUACUGGGAAUUAGAAGCAGAAGCAACUAAAUUUAUGUCAACAUAAAACCACAUGUUAUCAUCAACUUCUAACUAUAUGUAUGCUGAUGUAGAAAAAUAUGCUUUUGGAAAUAGGAAAAAUAUUCAGCCCAAAUUCUUGUUUAUAAUGCCUGCCUAUUGGUAAUUUUGCCUAAUAACUAGAAUAAAGUUUCCUGCUUAUUUUAGUAAAUUUUUACAUAGAGGUUCGUAUUUUUAAUAAAUGUCAUUUGGCAAUUUAAAUUCCUUUUAGUAGGAAGUACUGGGGGAGGGAAUUGAUAUAAUAUUUACUUUAGGGUAAAUUGUUUUUGGGAAGAAUUGCAAAGAGUCCUCGGGCAACAGAUCUAGGUUAUGAAGCUGAGCUUGAAACUCACUAUAAACCUUAGUUUUGUCACCAACCCUGGUGGUGGGUGAAGAGGAAUGUUAUUUUAGAAAGUCUGAUUAUAUUUUAGUAAAGCUGGGAUUUGAUAUGUCUACAUAACCUCAGAUUUCUAUUUGGGAAUAUUAACAGCCUCUUGUGUAUACAUAAACAUUUUUAUUACCCUCAUUAAAAGAAUACUUACAAACUUAUACUUUGCUUUUCUUUGCUCUCAGAAAAAGCAGGGGCAUGUGUUGGAAAAAUGUGUUUGUGGAGUUAACAUUUAACCAUCUCUAUUUUAGAUCCAUAUUAUCUAUCACACGUUUUGGUUGAAGUUUGUUCAUUUAUAACUGCUUUGUUCAAAAAUGGACCCAAGGCAGACCCUACUUAUCAGCUAAGAUACCUUUGGUGUCUUGCUUUAAACCCUAAUGUUCUUACCUGUGGAAAUGGGGAGAAUGGUGCCCAUCUCAACUUAAUCAUCUCUGCCGUCUUCUCUGGCCUUUAUACAGAGUUGGUUAUUCCCUCAUCACCACAUAGGAGGCCUUCAGCAUACAGUUGAGUUACUGCACAGAGGCAUCCCUUCCCUGCUAGCGUGCUACAGGGAAGUUCUGCUCAUUUCCAGAAAACUGCCUGGGAUCUACUCAGCUCUUGCCAAUUUGCAAUAGCUGAGGUCCUGCUCCAGUUCCUACAAUCUGCUUGGGUCAAUUUCCCUGCAAAAUUCUCUAUUGUCUGGAAUCAAGUCAUCUCUGUCUCACACUAACCAGAACCCUGUUCGUUGGGCAGCCUGGAUCAGAUUUUUCUCUCUCGGCUAUAUGCACUGUCAUAGUUGCUGACCCUCCUCCAUUGCAUGGACACAUUGUCCCAUUUCUUCUAUCAGACGGAGGCUCUUAAGCUCAGCCCUCCCAGCCCGGCCAGUGUAGCUCAGUGGUUAAGCAUCAACCUAUGAACCAGGAGAUCAUGGUUCUGUUCCUGGUCAAGGCCCAGGUUGUGGGCUCGAUCCCCAAUAAGGGGCAUGCAGGAACAUGUUCUCCCCCUCCCUCUCCAAAAUCAAAAAAUAUAUAUAUUUUAAAAUGGGUUGGGGGGAAGCUCAGCCUCCCCACCACCUUACCUUAUAACACACAUUAGAGGUUGAUAAGCUUGUAAUCUUCUGCUUACAGGAGAAUAAAAGAGUCCUUUUUCAACUGAGUUUUGGUAGAUUUGUCAUGCUCCAUUUCUCACCAUCUUCCCACAACGUACUUUGUGCUUAGGUCAUACUGAGCUACCUCCGGGUCAGGAAGUAUGUUCUUUCAUCCACAUCUUUUGAGAGAUCUGUGUCCUCUGCUUACGCCUUCUCCCUCACCUUCACAUCCUUCUGUUCUACAGCCUAAGCAUUAAUUAUUCUGUAAACAUCCCCUGAUGCUUCCCAACUUCCCCAGCUACCCUGGGACUUUAGGUUCUCUUCUGUAACUGUUCUUCAUUGUAUAGAGUAUCCAAUAUUCCAGGGAACUGUAAUUCCUCAUUUAUGGGUCUGUAUCUUCUCUAGAUUACAAAGUAUUUGGAUUCAGUGACCUUGUCAUUUUAUUGUUGCUGCUAUAAUUUAUUUUAUGGGACCUGGUAACUAGUAACCACUCAAUAAAUAUUUGUUGAAUGAAUGAGCAGUCAAGGCAAUCUCUGAACCAAGGCUUUUCCAUUCCAGCUCAGCGGACACAAUACAAACUUAUUAGAACAGAGACGCUAGCAAUGCUGUCAUAAUUGUAAUGUCACAUAGUGUAUUAAAGAUCUUUGUUCUGACUUAUUUACACAAAUCAGCUAUGUCUGUCACCAGUUUAAAAAUAAGUAUAGCUAGUUAAAAAAAACUUAUUCGCUGUCAUCAGAAAACAUAAGACAGAUGUACUUGUAUACCUCCUUUGUCAGUUUAUACACCAAUUGGUAAAGAAGGGGUGUACAGUCAACUCUGAGAGUAUAAUUGCCUGAAAAAUAAAGCAGAAUAUUUUAAUACUUUCCAAUGAAAUUCCAAUUUAUAUUUAAUUUUAACUUUAUUUUCUAAUUAUAACUAUAUAACAAAUUUCAGUGGGAUCACUCCCUGGGAAUUCAAAAUAGGGUGGAGCCCUGGCCAGAUGGUUGAUUAGAGCAUUGUCCUGAUAUGCCAAGGUUGUGGGUUCAAUCCCCAGGCAGGGCACAAAAAUCAACCAAUGAAUUAAUAAAUAAGUGGAACAACAAAUUGAUCUCUCUCUCAUGCUCCCCUUCUUUCUAAAAACCAAUAAAAAAAAUUUAGGCUGGAAAUAGUUCUUCAGGAGCAAGAGAGACUGCAGUGCACUCUUCACAGAAGGUGUAAGUGGACUUUGGUGGCUAGGACAGCAGCUCCCAUGUCAUAAGGGUCAUUAAUGCAGUGUCUCUUAGAGGGUGUUUAGUGGGAAAAAUAUAUAUAUAAUGGUAAGGCUACAGCAUUCAUUCAAUUAGUAUAUAGCAAGACAUUAGACAACAGCAUGUCUAGAGAGAGUGGAAGAGAGGGAUAGAGACAGAGAAACUCGAUGUGAGAAGGGCACAUUGAUUGGGUUGCCUCCCACAUGCACCCCGACCAGAGCUGGGGUAGAACCUGUACCAAUGUACAUGCCCUUGACCAGAGUCAAACCCUCGGCCUUUCAGUCUGUGGGCCAACGCUCUAGCCACUGAGCCAAACCAGCUAGGACCAGAAAGUAUUUCUGUGUGAAAUAUUCUGUAGACCACCUCUUCUGAAAUAUUUUAGCCAAAUUCUUUUAAUACCUCUAUAGGAAGGACGUAGUUAAUACUGGAGUUUUAAACAGGAAUCCAAAUGGUAAAUAUUCUAAAGAAAUUAGGCUUGAUAGCUUAGUUAUACAUUAAAUGUACCUUCAAUCGAUGAAUCUGAGUUGACAUAAGCGAUGCUUCUCUCCUGGAGUGUUUUUGCAUUCUCCUAAAAUUGAAGCAAAGUUGUUAAUUCAUAGUAUUACAAUUGUGGGAAUGGAGACAAAAUAAACGAGUAUAAAAGUAAUCUGCAAGUACAUUAUGAAUCAAAUACCUAUGCCUUCAACCAUAAUUUCUAAAAAAUGCUGAUAGCUGAUAACUGGUUGGUUGACAACAACAUAAAUGAAAUUAAAACAAGUAAGAAAAAGAUUAUGCUGCUGUAGAUAUUUAUUUACAACAAUAGAGGCAGCCCCAGAGAAAAAGUACUUUCAAAGUGUGGUUCUUUGAUUCCCUAAACCAGACAGAACAUGAAGGGGCGAGGCUCCCAGAUUCUGGGCCCCACCCCAGACCUAAGAAUUGCUGAAAGCAAGGCCUGGAAAUCUGUAUUUUCCAAAAGGUGCCCUGGCAAUCCUUACAUGCACUGAAGUUUGAGAUCCACUAAUAAUGAAUACCCACAUAAAUAUAUCAUUUUAAGUGAAAAAUAAGGAAGUACAAAAAAAUUGAAAAAUAGAAAAUUUCAUUGAUUUUUAAAGAUAAUUAGAAAAUAUGAACAAAAAAAAAGAGAAAGAGGAAGGCAGAACAAAACUAGAGGGAGAAAAGGAAGGACCUUUAGGACAAACACAAGACUGUUUCUGACUUUCUCCCUCUCCACAACCCCCCAAGAAAGAUUAUGUAGAGAAGAUGAAUGUCACACACACGGGAAUAUGCGAGAGCACCCUUUACUUCUCUCUCACUGCCUUACUUAUAAGAACUUACUGUAAUAAAAACAUUUAAAGCUGUGAGAGGUUAGGGCCCAGUGAGGACUGCCACUCUCUGCACUGCCCACACAGGCCACACGAUAGUUACCUCUGCUGUGGGCAAGUAUAGGGUUGGAGUUUCCAUUAUAACAGUUACAUUAGAAAUAAGGAAGAUUUUUUAAUUAAUUAAAUAAAGUAUGC